GAGCCCGUGGCUCAAUGGUAGAGCGUUCGACUGAAAUACCAAAUGUCUCGGGUUCGAAUCCUAGGUGUUCC
rnacentral:tRNA from 1 species